UACGUAGGGUGCGAGCGUUAAUCGGAAUUACUGAGCGUAAAGCGUGCGCAGGCGGUUUUGUAAGACAGCUGUGAAAUCCCCGGGCUCAACCUGGGAACUGCGGUUGUGACUGCAAGACUUGAGUACGGCAGAGGGGGGUGGAAUUCCUGGUGUAGCAGUGAAAUGCGUAGAUAUCAGGAGGAACACCGAUGGCGAAGGCAGCCCCCUGGGCCUGUACUGACGCUCAUGCACGAAAGCGUGGGGAGCAAAC
rnacentral:rRNA from 1 species